UACAGAGGGUGCGAGCGUUAUUCAUAGUUACUGGGCGUAAAGGGUGCGUAGGCGGGUCUUUAAGUCAGGGGUGAAAUCCUGGAGCUCAACUCCAGAACUGCCUUUGAUACUGAAGAUCUUGAGUUCGGGAGAGGUGAGUGGAACUGCGAGUGUAGAGGUGAAAUUCGUAGAUAUUCGCAAGAACACCAGUGGCGAAGGCGGCUCACUGGCCCGAUACUGACGCUGAUGCACGAAAGCGUGGGGAGCAAACAGG
rnacentral:rRNA from 1 species